UUUCUACUGAUUUGCAUGUGUCUUCUUCCUCUUAAUUUGGUUUUCAAUUGCUGAACAUUAUUUUCUUUUCCCUUGUGAUUCUCUUUCUUGGUUGUCAUCUGCUUUCGUUUCCCUCGCUUCCGACAUAAAGGCUUUUAGGUAUCGAUAACAAUCCAGGAAGACGCAAUAUCACCGCUUAUACUUUCCAUCGAAGGUUUAAAUUGAAGUCCAUUCUGUUGCGAUGGUCAAUCGAUUCAAGGUUAAUGCUUAAUUAGUUCUAUCCUAGAAAGUGAGUUUUAGAAUCGUCGGCGCCCACAAGCCCUAAAAGCACCCCACCGGAUCGAUUUUGCUCCUUCUACUACUAUGUUCUUCAAUUUCAUGUCCAUAUUCCUCCUGUAUCUUCUAUUUCAGAUGUGUACUCGAUUCCCAACUUCGACGACAAUUCGUUUUCCACUGUAACUAUGUCGGCUUCAAGGUAUGCUCUCUGUACUUUACUUUAUCUCUUCAGAUCUUUCUCAUAUAUGUUAGCCUGAAGUACAAAUCAUCUGAGAAAAUCGAUCAACUGAGGGUAAACGAGUACUCACUUUUGACAUAUACAAUCUCAAAGGUAUGUCUCCAUUACUGCAGAUUUCGGUUGUAUUCGUUUCUUCAAACUGUUAACUACUGGGAAUCAUAACUCUAGGGCUUACAUUUUAGUUGAUCCUAUUCUCUUUGCUUUAAAUUUUGAAAAUUUUAGAACUUAUCUUCAUUUAUCUUCCUAUUUUUUGUUAUUAUAUUGCUAACGUAUUUAUGUUUUGACCUUUCAGUUUGUAUGUUUGACCGGAAGAGUUUGCUUUCUGAUGGAGUUAGAUCUCUUAUUCAUAAAUUUGAAGAACACAAACCUCAUGUUCUUUUUGUGUUCAGUGGUGUCCAAACAGGCCUUCUGUGUUUGGAAGUUCAACAGAGGAUGGUUGUCUUAGUAUUUGGGAUUAUGAACAUGUAAAAAAAAGUGAAAGAUCAUUGCUUUUUCUUGCAUGAAACACUUUUUUUUUGUUUAGUUUUAGUUUAUUUUGGCUUUAUACAUAUUUGCUAUUUAUCUGAUUCUCCCAAGUGAUUUCAAUUUGUAGUGCCUGCCCCUGCUGCUGUUGGUUUCGAUUCCAUCAUAAGAAUCAGUGCAGCUAAAGCUUCAGCCACAUCUUUAGAGCAUAUAAAGUGCUUGCUAAUCUUUUGGAGGCACUAAUAUGUGCAAUCUUCAUCAAAUAUUCACUAAAUUCAGGUUCUAAUUUUCCAAAAAUCUGUAAUUAUUUAUCCAUUAGACAAAGGUCUGAACUAGAGCUGAUAAGUUCAGCUCAUGCGCAGCCUGGAAGAAGUCUGCAGCUUGGUACAUCAUAUCUUCCUUCUUGCAGAUCAACCCAAGGUUAAAUGUAGUUGAGAAACAAAUAAAGGACGUGAUAAAAUUUUGCAUUUUUUGGAUCAUAUUGCCCCUGCACACUUUUUAUAUCAAUAAAACCAAUUUUUUUCAGAUUCAAGACCACAUUGCCCCGAAAAAAUUAUCGUAUCCGACCCCCGCAACGCGGGGCUCCCCACCUAGAUGUUUACUAUGAAACAUUGUUCGUAAGGAAACCAAAAAAGAAAAAAUGAUAUUCAUGUUCCAAAAACGAAAUUUUAAGACUUCGUCUUAUUUUUGCAACAUAAAUCUCUAUUUUAAUGAGAAAAUGGUUAGAUCUUUUCCACAAAAAAUGUUUUUUUUUUUAAAACAAAUCAUGAUUCACGUCAACAUAAUAACAAUUUCCAAUUUCGCAUUACAAUGAACGUACACCCUUCUAUUCGAAUUAGCAAAAACAAUAUAUCCUUGCAUAAUAUGGAUUCCAAACAUUUAUGAUCUAGAUGUGAUUUAUGAUCUAGAUGUGAAUGCAUCGAAUUACUUGUCCCCAGUUAUGCAAAGUAAGUCCUGUGAUUUUCUUUUCUUUUAUUUUUAUUUCACCAUUUUUUAGUUUCGUUCUGGAUAGGGACUAAAUUGUUUUAAGGUUUCAUAGUGUCAUCCGUCAUUUCACAACAGGUCCACCACGAAACUGAUAUUUGUAAGGGAAUUUCUUCAAAUGUGACAAAUUUUUGUAAAUAUUUAAAAAUAUAUGUCGUAUUCUCUUAAGGAUCAGAGACACUAUCUAGCAUGUAUACCCUGGGCAAGUUUAUGCAUCGGAUAGGUGGGUCCUAAAACCCACCUAAUUUUAUUAAUUAUAUCAUAAAUUAUAUAAAAAAAACUUUUUAGGACUUGUCUUAAAAAACUUCAAGGACCUAUUCUAAAAUGUUUGACAAAAAAAUAUAUAUUAGUAUCUCAAUAACCCAUAUUUCAUAACCCAAUGGAUCACUCUACUUAAACUAUAUUAGAUAGGCAGUAACUCAAUAGCCUACAAUUAUUACCCGAUAGAUCAAUCCAUUUAAAUAAUAGUAUAAUACCCACUAGUCAAUAACCCACUACAACUUAAAAUU